CGAAGGAUCCAAGCGUUAUCCGGAUUUAUUGGGUUUAAAGGGUGCGUAGGCGGGCUAUUAAGUCAGUGGUGAAAGCCUGCAGCUUAACUGCAGAAUUGCCAUUGAUACUGAUGGUCUUGAGUACACUUGAGGUGGGCGGAAUGUGUCAUGUAGCGGUGAAAUGCUUAGAUAUGACACAGAACACCGAUUGCGAAGGCAGCUCACUAAAUUGUAACUGACGCUGAGGCACGAAAGCGUGGGGAUCAAACAGGAUUAGAUACCCUGGUAGUCCACGCCCUAAACGAUGAUUACUCGAUGUGUGCAAUACACCGUACGCGUCUGAGCGAAAGCAUUAAGUAAUCCACCUGGGGAGUACGACCGCAAGGUUG
rnacentral:rRNA from 1 species